rnacentral:rRNA from 1 species
CCUACGGGUCGCAGCAGUGGGGAAUAUUGCACAAUGGGCGCAAGCCUGAUGCAGCCAUGCCGCGUGUAUGAAGAAGGCCUUCGGGUUGUAAAGUACUUUCAGCGGGGAGGAAGGUGUUGUGGUUAAUAACCACAGCAAUUGACGUUACCCGCAGAAGAAGCACCGGCUAACUCCGUGCCAGCAGCCGCGGUAAUACGGAGGGUGCAAGCGUUAAUCGGAAUUACUGGGCGUAAAGCGCACGCAGGCGGUCUGUCAAGUCGGAUGUGAAAUCCCCGGGCUUAACCUGGGAACUGCAUUCGAGACUGGCAGGCUAGAGUCUUGUAGAGGGGGGUAGGAUUCCAGGUGUAGCGGAGAAAUGCGUAGAGAUCUGGAGGAAUACCGGUGGCGAAGGCGGGCCCCUGGACAAAGUCUGACGCUCAGGUGCGAAAGCGUGGGGAGCAAACAGGAUUAGAUACCCGCGUAGUC